AAUUUACUUUGCUGUAUGAAACAUAACAGGUUGGGCUACCUCCUCACCAGCCAUAAAGGUUUUCUAGCUAAAUAAUCAUGGGACAAGCUAGUGGUAAAACAGGGUAACAUAUUGUAUACGAAGACUUUUAGGGUGGUUUAACCAGGUUGAACUCCUCGGUUCUAGCCAACGAGUAAAGCCAUUGCCAGUGGUAAUGAAUCAAUUUCACGUUUCCCAAUCGGAGACAUCAUUGCCUUCGAAACACUAAAACGUAUCUUUCAGGGAUAACCCUUAAGGAAAUCCAAUUCUACUUUUGCUACUGUCUAGCUUUUAUGUAAAUUUAAUUUGUAUUUCUUGUAAAACUAUGUGAAAUUUUCACAAAUUGAUUCACGUAUGCUACGCAGUUCCUAUUGAACGAACACGAAGUGAGGAAACGCCUUUUGCAGUUUGAUAAGAUAUAGUUAUAUUUGCCAAACCAAGAACACCACCACGUCUCACGAUAAAUUUACUUGAUAUUCCAGAUAAUAGCAACUGUACUCAGCAGCCUAAUGGCACAUGGCUGCAAUACGGUAAAUAAUCAAUUGCACCUCCUACCAUCCAGCGUGGGACUAGCAUGGUCUCAUUCCAUUUGACCUCCAUUACGUGUAUUUUGGGGAGGCAUUUUUUCUUCUGAAGAAUUCGUAGUGUUAUCAUACGGCCUACAAGAACACUAAAGUUGUCACAUUUGCUGUUAAUAUUUUCUGUCUGCUAGUUUGGUUUCUUCCGCCUGUCGUGAUCUUCUACUCACUUCCACGAAAAAUUGAAACCUUUUGAUCCUCCACGGAAUCAUUCCAAACUUUUGACUGCGCCAUACGUGGGUAUAAUGAUGUGCUGGAAUAGACGUGCUCCAAAAGGGAUUUUGACAAGUUAUUCGGUAGACUACACUGUACACAGGACGAAGCAAUGAUGCAAUUGUUUUGACACUUUUGCAACUUUCCUGGGAUGAUACGGAAUCUUGGAACAUUUGGCGGUUAAAGAAAAUCAUAUUCUGAAGAAGUACGUAUGCCAGCUGUGAUCUCGCCAAUUCAUCAAAUCAAACUGUAAGAAAGAAAUCAAGCAGAAGUUUAGCUUAGUCUGUUAUCAAACACAUGUUUUAUAAUUUAAAUAAUUUGAGAAAUGAUUGUUCUUUCCUUUGAUACUCAAAACCACGUUGUUGUUUGAAAAAGAACGAGGACCGCUUGUCUAGACGAACUCGCAUGUGGCUCAUGAUGUUCUUCCGAUUGAUCUGAAAAUUGAACGAAAAGGCGAAUAUUUGAUCGAAUGCACUGUGGUCAUCUUAGAACAAGUAAUCCAUUGUCAACCUUUGAAAAUUGCUUUUGCAGGCACGAAACAGCUGUGUCAAACAAACGUCGCGGAGAAGAUGUCCAGUGCAUUUUAAUAGUGAUCUUUGAAAAAACUUGGUAAGAGCAGACGUCGGGCUAAAGAAGCACGGACUAGUGUUGUGAAAGAACCAGUGCUUUCAGUGGUAGCAAGACAACUGUAGAGCAGUGACCUAGUAAUACGUAUUUAUACCUUUUUUCGUUGAAAAAGGGAAUUUGCCUCACUUCGUGUAACACAGUUUCAUGAAAUUGUGCUAGGGGGCUUUAAAAAUUCCCAUGCACGCUAUAGUUGGGCCCAAAAGGCUGGCAGAUAGCGGAUCAGUGGGCAAGUCGACAACAUGUUCGAGUUUUUUUAGUUUUUUUUGCGUCGGGCAAUGGACGUCCUCCCACGACCGCACAGAGAAACUUCCCACUCUGUUUAGAAUUUUGCGUUCGGAACGUCAUGGCUUUAGAAGACAUCUUGAUGCCGUCGUCAGCUUCAGCUGCGUUACUAUUGUCUUUCUUGGAAUACAGAAUACAUAAUUGGUUGUCGAAAAUCAGGUCCGCGAUAGCCCGUAAAAAGUGGUCCAUUGCUAAGUCUUGUUACCAUCCCUUGUGUGUUAUGAAAUAAUAAGAUUUAGUGAAGAAACCUAAAUCUUUUUUCUCCCUUCUUACCUAAUAUACUCACUGUUUGUCUAUGCGGUAUGCAACAGUGACAGCUGAAUACUAAAGCCUUUUUUUCAUAAGUAGGAUUUUAUAUCAUAAAAGAUUGUCAGAUGAAUUAAGCGGAACGGUUGGUUUUUAGCUACUGGGGAAUUUUAUUGUCAUAAGACGUUUCUUCAAGACAUUUUUUAUUGUACUGAAUAAUCGUCAUGUUUGAAAUAGAAAACUGAAACCCCCUGUUUUCUUUCUGACCUGGAAUUCAGCUUAUGUCCAAUAUGGCAUUAUGACAUACCGUAACUCAUAAAAACUAUCCCAUUUGGAAAUAAACGUGGUCGAUUUCGUGCCGUUACUUCCAAAUAAUCGACCGCAAAUAGCUUUCGAUCCAUCAACCUACUUUAAGUAUAUGAAACUGCUGGGUUUCCAAACUUGCAGAACGCACGAUACAAUUUAAUCGAUUUUAUCAACUCGACUGUGACAUUGCUUAGUAGGAAAUCAAGAGAAUUAAAGCGAAUGUAACUGAGACCAUUUGAAGCUAGAAUCGAAGUUUUAUUUUAUAGGCUGGUAAACAAGGGAGGCAAGUUAAUUACAAAACAAAGCCGAGCGUUUAUUAAUUGAGGCAAACAGUAAAAAAUA
rnacentral:lncRNA from 1 species